rnacentral:rRNA from 1 species
AUUGAACGCUGGCGGCACGCCUUACACAUGCAAGUCGAACGGUAACAGGUCUUCGGAUGCUGACGAGUGGCGAACGGGUGAGUAAUACAUCGGAACGUGCCCGAUCGUGGGGGAUAACGAAGCGAAAGCUUUGCUAAUACCGCAUAAGAUCUACGGAUGAAAGCAGGGGACCGCAAGGCCUUGCGCGAACGGAGCGGCCGAUGGCAGAUUAGGAAGUUGGUGGGAUAAAAGCUUACCAAGCCGACGAUCUGUAGCUGGUCUGAGAGGACGACCCGCCAAACGGGGAGUGGGACACGGCCCAGAAGCCUACGGGAGGCAGCAGUGGGGAAUUUUGGACAAUGGGCGAAAGCCUGAUCCAGCCAUGCCGCGUGCAGGAUGAAGGCCUUCGGGUUGUAAACUGCUUUUGUACGGAACGAAAAGACUCUUUCUAAUAAAGAGGGUCCAUGACGGUACCGUAAGAAUAAGCACCGGCUAACUACGUGCCAGCAGCCGCGGUAACAC